UACGGAGGGUGCAAGCGUUAUCCGGAUUCACUGGGUUUAAAGGGUGCGUAGGCGGUCGUGCAAGUCGGAUGUGAAAUCUCAGGGCUCAACCCUGAAACUGCAUUCGAUACUGCGCGGCUAGAGUGCUGGAGGGGAGACUGGAAUUUACGGUGUAGCAGUGAAAUGCGUAGAUAUCGUAAGGAAGACCAGUGGCGAAGGCGAGUCUCUGGACAGCAACUGACGCUGAGGCACGAAGGCCAGGGGAGCAAACGGG
rnacentral:rRNA from 1 species